UUAAUUAUACAUGUGUUGGUAUUUAUAUAUUGGGGUGAUCAUCCAAAUUCUGCAGUUAAUCCUCCAGCAGUUAAUGCUCCAAAUCCAACAUCUUCAAAUCCCGCUGCCGCUCCGAUACCACCCACCAUGACUCCAGCACCGACAGUCCACUCCGUCCCUGUUGGAGCACCAAGUCCGAUAGCAGCAAGCUCUGGAGGUUAUAGUAUAUGUGCUACCAUAUUAUCAACCCUUUUUAUCAUUCCUCUGUCGAUUUCAUUUUUUAGUAUGUUGGUCUAAUCUUUAGUGAUUAACAGAGUGUUAUUUUAUUUUUAUUUUUUUUCAGUAGAAUUUUUUCAUUCUACUAUUACUCUUAGAUUAUUGGCA
rnacentral:lncRNA from 1 species